rnacentral:rRNA from 1 species
CGAAAGUUUUUAUGAAACUAAAAACCAAAGGAGGAUUUAGCAGUAAAUCAAGAAUAGAGUGCUUGAUUGAAUAAGGCCAUGAAGCACGCACACACCGCCCGUCACCCUCCUCAAGCAUGUAGUAAUAAAAAUAACCUAUAUUCAAUUACACAACCAUGCAAGAAGAGACAAGUCGUAACAAGGUAAGCAUACUGGAAAGUGUGCUUGGAUUAC